rnacentral:lncRNA from 1 species
GCGGUGCACGACGAGAUCCAUGGCAGCGGCGCAGUGUGCAGAGAUAGCUACGACAGCGGCAUCGUGGUGCAGCGGCGGCGUGCAGAUUGGGAAUGAGAGGAAGAGGAAAAGGGCAGGGCGAGGGAGAGGAAAAUUAAGCAUAAAGUGGAGGGUGGGUGUGGAAGGGAAGAGAGAGGUGGGGCCCGCGUAGAUGUGUGUCGAAUCAACUGUGUUGCUCAGUCAUCCAAGAAAGACUUGCCUCUUUCAUGUUUCCUUGUUUUAUUUUCUUUCAACACGUGCCAUUUGGUUAUGUAUAAGAAAAGAAAACAAGGAAACAAAGAUGAACAGAAGGAUGCCACUCCCAAACAAUGGUCGGUAGGUGGGCAUUUCUGGCAGAUCUGGAUGGUGCUAAUAUGGUUUGUGAAGAUUCAUCCGUUCCUUUCAAGCAAGGUUCAAACACCAAAGUUAAGAUAAAAAGAAAAAAAUUCCACCCACCCUAAAAACUCAAUUUAUUUUCGAAAAGGAAGUUGACCCUCGACCUCUGUGU